CCUACGGGUGGCAGCAGUGAGGAAUAUUGGUCAAUGGGCGCGAGCCUGAACCAGCCAAGUCGCGUGAGGGAAGACGGCCCUACGGGUUGUAAACUUCUUUUAUAAAGGAAUAAAGUGAGGCACGUGUGCCUUUUUGUAUGUACUUUAUGAAUAAGGAUCGGCUAACUCCGGUUCAGCAGUCGCGGUAAUACGGAGGUUCCGAGCGUUAUUCGGAUUUAUUGGGUUUAAAGGGAGCGUAGAUGGGUUGUUAAGUCAGUUGUGAAAGUUUGCGGCUCAACCGGAAAAUUGCAAUUGAUACUGGCAGCCUUGAGUACAGUUGAGGUAGGCGGAAUUCGUGGUGUAGCGGUGAAAUGCUUAGAUAUCACGAAGAACUCCGAUUGCGAAGGCAGCCUACUAAACUGCCACUGACAUUGAUGCUCGAAAGUGUGGGUAUCAAACAGGAUUAGAUACCCCUGUAGUC
rnacentral:rRNA from 1 species